rnacentral:rRNA from 1 species
GACGAACGCUGGCGGCGUGCUUAACACAUGCAAGUCGAACGGAAAGGCCCUGCUUUUGUGGGGUGCUCGAGUGGCGAACGGGUGAGUAACACGUGAGUAACCUGCCCUUGACUUUGGGAUAACUUCAGGAAACUGGGGCUAAUACCGGAUAGGAGCUCCUGCUGCAUGGGGGGGGUUGGAAAGUUUCGGCGGUUGGGGAUGGACUCGCGGCUUAUCAGCUUGUUGGUGGGGUAGUGGCUUACCAAGGCUUUGACGGGUAGCCGGCCUGAGAGGGUGACCGGCCACAUUGGGACUGGGAAACGGCCCAGACUCCGACGGGAGGCAGCAGUGGGGAAUAUUGCACAAUGGGCGGAGGCCUGAUGCAGCAACGCCGCGUGCGGGAUGACGGCCUUCGGGUUGUAAACCGCUUGCGCCUGUGACGAAGCGUGAGUGACGGUAAUGGGUAAAGAAGCACCGGCUAACUACGU